UGCCGGCUGUCCAAAAGCCGGGGUUACUGAAGAGGCACACCUUCAUUGCCGGCAGUGCGGUUGGGGUCUCCCAUCCAAAGCUGAGGCAGACAAAGCGCAUCUUCGCCGCGUGGCGGGAAUGCAUCGU
rfam:Nitratireductor aquibiodomus RA22 Contig26, whole genome shotgun sequence.